rnacentral:rRNA from 1 species
UACAGAGGGUGCGAGCGUUGUCCGGAAUCACUGGGCGUAAAGGGCGCGUAGGCGGUCUGGUAAGCGUGUGGUGAAAGCUCGGGGCUCAACCCCGAGUCGGCCGUGCGAACUGCUGGACUCGAGCAUGUCAGAGGCAGGCGGAAUUCCGGGUGUAGCGGUGGAAUGCGUAGAGAUCCGGAAGAACACCGGUGGCGAAGGCGGCCUGCUGGGACAUGGCUGACGCUGAGGCGCGACAGCGUGGGGAGCAAACAGG